rnacentral:rRNA from 1 species
UACGGAGGGUGCAAGCGUUUUCCGGAUUUACUGGGUUUAAAGGGUGCGUAGGUGGAUUGGGUAGUCAGUGGUGAAAUACUUUCGCUUAACGAAGGAACUGCCAUUGAUACUCUCAAUCUUGAAUACAGUGGAGGCAGGCGGAAUGUGUCAUGUAGCGGUGAAAUGCUUAGAUAUGACACAGAACACCUAUUGCGAAGGCAGCUUGCUACACUGUGAUUGACACUGAGGCACGAAAGCGUGGGGAGCAAACAGG